AACGGAAAGGCCCUUCGGGGUACUCGAGUGGCGAACGGGUGAGUAACACGUGGGUGAUCUGCCCUGCACUUUGGGAUAAGCCUGGGAAACUGGGUCUAAUACCGAAUAGGACCACGCGCUUCAUGGUGUGUGGUGGAAAGCUUUUGCGGUGUGGGAUGGGCCCGCGGCCUAUCAGCUUGUUGGUGGGGUAAUGGCCUACCAAGGCGACGACGGGUAGCCGGCCUGAGAGGGUGACCGGCCACACUGGGACUGAGAUACGGCCCAGACUCCUACGGGAGGCAGCAGUGGGGAAUAUUGCACAAUGGGCGCAAGCCUGAUGCAGCGACGCCGCGUGAGGGAUGACGGCCUUCGGGUUGUAAACCUCUUUCAAUAGGGACGAAGCGCAAGUGACGGUACCUAUAGAAGAAGCACCGGCCAACUACGUGCCAGCAGCCGCGGUAAUACGUAGGGUGCGAGCGUUGUCCGGAAUUACUGGGCGUAAAGAGCUCGUAGGUGGUUUGUCGCGUUGUUCGUGAAAACUCACAGCUUAACUGUGGGCGUGCGGGCGAUACGGGCAGACUAGAGUACUGCAGGGGAGACUGGAAUUCCUGGUGUAGCGGUGGAAUGCGCAGAUAUCAGGAGGAACACCGGUGGCGAAGGCGGGUCUCUGGGCAGUAACUGACGCUGAGGAGCGAAAGCGUGGGGAGCGAACAGGAUUAGAUACCCUGGUAGUCCACGCCGUAAACGGUGGGUACUAGGUGUGGGUUCCU
rnacentral:rRNA from 1 species